CAAGCAAGAAUGUCAUUUCAAGACAUUUAUAGAUGGUAAUUUUAAAUCCAUUCAUGACGAAAACCAGGAAGUUUUUGAAAUGGGAGUUGAAGCAUUGUCAACCUAAAUACACCAGAUGCACAUUGAACUGUGGAGCAUGUGUCCAAAUAGUUGGGAUACGAGUCCAUGUCUAUUUGGCUGAAUAAAAUGAGGCUAGGAUUCCUGCAGUAUUACAAGAGUUGGUUUAUAAUACUAACAAGUGAAGUGACAGCUAUAUUGGAGUUGCACAUAUCCUGUGGAAAGUUUGAUUUCUUGGCAGAGACCCAACCAUU